AUGUUAUUAGUUGAAUAAAUCGAAAAGUAAACGCAUAAAAACAAAAUACUUUUCAGCUCCAUUUCAAUUUUUUCAAUAUUCAUCACAUGUUUCUUACAAAAAAAUAAAAAAUAAAAUAAAAUAUUCGUUCACAUGUUCAUUUUUCAUACAUGUAGCACGUAAGAAAACAAAGAAACAAUGGAAGCCCCAACCAAUGAUCCAAGAACAGGCAAGGUUGCGGCAGCCACGCUGGAAUCUGGUCCUGGUGCUGUGACGGAAGCAGGAGAGGAGCUAGGACUAGAACCACCGGCUGAAGGGGAAGGAGCAGGUGCACCGGCAGCCAUGACGGCGCUCAUUGAGGCGGCAGCAACAAUGAUGGCGGUGGAGACCUUCUUCAUGUCCAUGGCGUAUAAAGGGAUUAUUAGACGCACAUGAAUGAGACCUGUGUUUAAUAACUGGAGAAUGGGGAUCCGCCGGUGAUUGUAAUUAUUUGCUUUGUUAUUGCAGGUCUGAAGAACAAUGAUGGUGGGGAGGAUCUUUUAUAGGUGAAAAUUCAUGGCUAUUUUUAGUGACGAAAUUUAAAAAUCAAAUUACGUGUUUGGUUUUCGCAUGGUUUGCGGAAUAGACAUGCAAAUUUUUGAAUUUUUUUAACGAUCUUGACUGGAUUUUUAGAUAGGGAGAUUUUAAAAUUUUUUAAGAGAAAAAAGUAAUAAUUUAACAGCAAUUACAUCGAUAUCAUCUGGCAGAUUAUUUAUGUCAGAAACCAUUUUUUGAAAACGGGAUCGACUUUGGUUUUGAAAGUGAAAAUUAAAACGGGAGUCGCCAUCGAUCUUUAUUGGGUGUCGGAUCACCCUUGUUUUAAUAAAACAUUUUAGUUUACUAAAACGACAUUUUGGUCUACGAAUUUUGAGAAAACGGGUUCGGGAGUCGGUUACUUACGAGGAAGGAUUAGCACCGUCGUAACGCCCAAAAUUGGUACUUAAUUGAUUAAUUAAUAUCUUAAUAUCGAAAAUUGAAAAGAUUUAAAAUAAAUUUUGAAAUACGAUCCCUUUUUAUGAAUGUUGAGUUUAAAAGUGCUUGAAUUGGAUCAAAACGAUUGCUAAAGAUUUUCUUGUCUCGAGACAUCAAAGAAUCACAUCCCGUAAGUUAGGACGCGAUACCUUGAACUUCCGAGCGCAAGUUUAUCUUUAAUUUUAAUUGAAAUUUCAUGUGUUUUUAAAACUCGAAAGGAUAUUUGGCUAUUUAGAAUCAACGAGAGAAUCGAAACCCCGUAAGUUAGGGCAUAAUUCUUCAGUGUUCCAAGACGCGAAACAUUUCCUUAUUUUCAAAAUUUCUUUUGUUUUAAAUUUGGACCUAAAAGUUUUAAUGAAAUAUUUAAGAGGUAUACGUUUAGAAACAAAUCGCGAUGAAUAAUCCAAAUAAUGAAACGAAUAUACACCAUAAAAGUCAUAAUAUCGAAAUGUUUGGACACGGUUGGGAUGACAAGACUUUACAAAUCAAUAUAUGUUUUAAACAUAUGGGCCACUCGAUGAAUGGGUGAAUAGGGUAAGCGUACACGGUAUUGAGCAUACACAUUUCGAAGUAGAAAUAAUAUAUAAAUAGCAUAAAUAAUGAAAAGACAAAUAAAAUAAUAUGGUAAACGAAUAAAUAACAAUGACAGGUACAGUGUUGGACUUGAAACAUAAAAUGUACAAGGGUAUAAUAAACGAACAAAUAAGACAAAAUAUAAUGAAAGUGCAAUCAUCUAAAAUCCAAACAUAAUUUAACCGGUUUUGCAAUGGAAUUUGGAACAGAAGGAAUAUACAUGUAUAUAUAUAUAAUUCAAAGUGGUGAUAAAUGUAAAGAAUUUUAAAGUAAAUAACAUACACAAUAAUUUAAACCAAGUAAUUCAUAUAAAACUCUAAAAUAGAAUAUAUGCAAAGAUUUAAAGUAAAUCAUGUAUAUAAAAAAUUUAAAAUAAAUAAUAUUCCAAAAUACAUAAUGUAUAAGAAGUAUGUGAAAAAAAUUUAAUAUAAGUAAUAUAUGAAGUCUUAAGGUAAAUAAUAAUAAAAGGUUUGUAAUAAAUAAUAACAGAAUUUAAAAUUAUUUACAUAUAAAAUAGUAUAACAAAAGAAUAUGUAAAAACUUAAAAUAUGCAAAAUGGUUUAUCAUACAUAAUGUAUAAGUGAAAAGAAAAUUUUGAGACAAAACAACGUAUGAAAACCUAAAAAAAGAAGUAUGUAUAUAUAUAUAAUAAUUUAGAGUACAAAGAUACAUAUAAAAUUUGAAAUGAAUACUACGUAUGAUAAUUUAGAAGAAAUAACAUAUAUGCAAAAUUUUUAAAAUUGAUAAUGAUUUAGAAUAUAUGAUAUAUUCAAAAUAAUGCCAAUAAUAAUAGUAAUAAUAAUGUAGAUAAGAAACAAAAAUAUAUAUAUAUAAUAUAAUAUGGCAAAUUUAAUAUAAAAUUGAUUGAUUUGAUGACAUAGUGGUGAUACUAGUGAUAACACAACAAUAAUGACAUAGAAAACAAUGAUAUCAAUAAAAUAAUAAGGACAAAAAUAGCUCCAAUAUUAACAAUAACGACAAUAAUAGAAUAACAAUGAUUAUAACUAUAAUGUAAAAACAAUGAUAUAAAUAGUAACAACCAUAAUGAUAAAAUAUAAGAAAUAAUAGAAUAAUGGCAAUAAUAAUAAGUAGUAAUAAUAGAAUUAAUAAUAAAAAUAAAUUUGAUUAAUUAAUAACAAAAUGGUUGAAUACUUAAAAAAGGACUAUAUUGAAUUUUGGAACACAAAUUUGGGGAGAAUUCGAAAUAAAAAAGGAGGACCACAUUGGAACGCGCCAAGAAAGUAGAAGGAUCCCAUGCACAAAUAGACCAUCCGGACAAAAUGCGCGGAUCCUCCGUGGGCGCGGGUCGGGUCACAUUCGGGUCAAAUGAAACGGUGCCGUUUCAGCACUUAGACCACCCACCCAAAACGCUGUCGUUUUGUGAGUGUAUAUAAGGCCCAAUUUUUGUUACAAAAAUCAUUUUAGCCUUCAAAAUAAUAAAAAAACUGAAACAAUCCCUUAAACUCUCUCUCCCUCCUCCAUUUUCUCAUUUCGGCUAGGGCUUUAACACCCAUCAUCGCCGCCAUCGUCGUGGCCUUUUGUGGCCGCCGUAGUUCCCACCGUAGACGGUGGUUAAGGGUAUGCGAAAAGGGGCUUUCCACCUCUGUUCAAGGCGUCCAAGAGUUUAUGAGGAUAGACCCCUUUUUAUUUCCCUUUUGAAUCGGUCUCAAUCACGGAGCAGAGGCUCCGGCGACGCGAUUCCAGGCUUCGGUAAGUCCCCUCCCUUCUCUUUAUUUCUAUUUAUUUUCGGAUGUCUAAAGAAAUAAAAAUCAAAAGAAAACAGAAUAUAUGAAUUUUAGAACUUAAAACGAAAAUGGAAACGAAAUCAACCUUUUAGUUUUCUUGCUAUUAUGUUUGCUUAAUGUCUCCCCCUUUUACAAUCGGUUUCUUUUUUUAAUUCGAAAAAAAAACCCCCUUACAAAUGAUAGAUUUUGGCUUUUUAAAGCCGAUCUACCAAACAUUCAUUCCAUAUUUUUUUGUUUUUGUUCCUUUGUUUAUUUUUUUUCCAUCAUUCGCAUGCUUUCUCUUGCUGUUGUUUUUGUCUCUGUUGCAGGUGCCAUGCGACGCGUGGAAGAGGCGACGGUCAGGGCAUGCAUGGGAGGAGCGACGGCUGCAAUGCUUUGGUGGCUAGGGUUCUUUUUUAGCAGAAAAUAUUUUGUGGGCUAGGGUUUCUAAGCUUUUAGGUUUAUUGGGCUUCUUUUGGGUUUUAAAAUUUUUUUGGCUGGUGUGGGUUUUGCAAAUAGACAUUUAUUUUAUUUGGGUUUUGUUACUUUAAUGGGUUUGGGCAAUUUGUCUUGGGUUGUUUAACAUUGUAAAUGGACUUGAAAGUUGGUUAUGUGGAUUUUAUUUUUUGGCUUAUUUGUUUGGGCCAAAAUUGGCCAUUAUAAUUUAGAAUGGAAGUAUCAAUUUGUUGGAGAGAAAAAAUAAAAUAGUGGAGAUUCAAUUUAAGUUAAACAUCGUAUCAGCUAAGGCAUUAACUGCUCCAUUAGAUUUCCUUAAAUAUGCUCAAUGUGAACCAUUCGUGCUCAAGUGCAAAGUUCUUUUAUUCUGCAUACUAGUGCUCUGUUCACUACGCCUUUUUUAGUCAUUAUUGAUUGUUUGAAUUGCAGUUAAAUAAUCACAUUCCAAAACAACCAAUUUCCACCUUUCGCACCACAACAGUUUAAGUCCACUAUAGAUUGGCCAAGGUUCUGCUUGUUCAACACUACAUUUCUCAAUAUUGUGACCAUAUUGUGACCGUAGCCCCGUAGCCAAAUAUCCAUCUACUAUGGUUGUGUCUAGCAAUCUCAGCUGAGCAAGCAAGUCUAGUAUGAAGUUUCCUUGCACCAUCUGUGUUCAAUUUGAUGCAACCAGGUAUUGAUUGCUGCCAGGUGCUUGGUUUGAUUCGAUUUUUAACCUUGAUCGUUGAUUCCCUCUUAUGUUAUUAACAUUCACAACCCAACUUCAAGCCAAUCUUACAAGCAUAUUCCAAAAACAAAAAAAUUCCUUUAUUUCCAUACAAACUAGCAUAAUAUACCGAACAGGAUGAUCAAAUUGUAAAUUUAGUUUAUUAGUAAAGUUGACAUUCACCCAGAACAAAAGUGGCACAGAUAAGAACUUAGAGUAAAAUGAAUUCGGAAUGAAUUGCAUCCAUACUUCUUCCUCAGCUUUGGAACAGUCAAGAAGUAUAUGAAGAAUAUUCUCGUCAGUGCCCUUCUUUCCAUACUAUUAUAUUUUAAUAGUAAAAUAGACCACAAAAUUAACCCGAGUCAAUUUGAAUUUUUUUUUAAAAUUCAGAAAGUACAAAGAAAAUACAAUUAUAAAACAUCUAUAAAUAAAUAUCCAAUUAAUUAUAAUAUAGAAUUCAAUUAAUUACAACUAUAAAAAAAUACAAAUAUAUUCAAACACCCUUUCUGUCUUCAUUCCUUUCUUCACCCUCUUUAGUGGUAGGAGGGAAAAGGAGGGGGUUGAUAAGGGCUUUACACCCUCUCUUAAAUUGGUUUAGACUAUCCAAAAUUCAAAAAAACAUAAAUUAAGAUAAAAUGUAAAAUUAUUCAAUUUUAUUUAUCUUAGAUUACAUUUUAGUUCCUUAUAUUUGAAAUGUUAUGUUUUAGUCACUUACAUUUUUGUUACGAAGUAUCCACUUUACCGUUCAUCUCCGUUACUUUCGUAACAACAAUCCUACAUAACAAUCCAAAUGAGUUCUAAAUGCCAAUUGGGAUGAGAAUAGUUCUAAAAGAAAAAGGGGACCAACUGUUUUUAUUUUCCAAUUCAAGGUGUAAUUAAUUUAAAAUUUACAAUUAAUUAAAUUUAGUUAAUUAAAAAACCUAUUCUAGUCCCAAUUGGACAUUCAAGUUGGCAUUUAAAAUUUAUUUGGACUGCCACUUAGGAUUGCCAUUAGAGAGGUAACGGAGCUUAAUAAGAGUGACCACUUUGUAACAAACGAUAACGUAAGUGACUAAAAUGUAAUCUGAGACAAACAAAAGUGACUAUUUUUAUAAUUACCCUUAAAUAUAUGAUAAAGUUAUAAAUUAAGCGCAAAAUUGCUAAAUUUUCAAUUUAAUCAUUUUAAAUACCACAAAAUAUAAUUAAAUAUGUAUUUUGACUCUUAUAAAAUAUAUAUAUUUUAAUCUCGAUUACCCUAAAAAAUAAAUCCAACUUCACCCUGCAUUAAUCUAAUUACAUACUAGUUAUUAGUUCAAUAAUUCAUUGUUAUUUUCAUGUUAUUAGUUGAAUAAAUCGAAAAGUAAAAGCAUAAACACAAAAUACUUUUUCAAAGCUCCAUUUCAAUUUUUUCAAUAUUCAUCACAUGUUUCUUACAAAAAAUAAAAAAUAAAUAAAAUAUUCGUUCACAUGUUAGAUUUUUCAUACAUGUAGCAUGUAAGAAAACAAAGAAACAAUGGAAGCCCCAACCAAUGAUCCAAGAACAGGCAAGGUCGCGGCAGCCACGCUGGAAUCUGGUCCUGAUGCUGUGACGGAAGAAGGAGAGGAGCUAGGACUAGAACCACCGGCGGAAGGGGAAGAAGCAGGUGCACCGGCAGAUAAGAGCUUGUUAUAAAUGGAUUUAUUGAAGUGAUUCAUCAAUAGUGACUGCGCUAGUAAUUCCACUAUUAUUAGUUAACAGUAAUGAAAAAUUUAAAUUCCUUCAUAUUUAUUUCAUAUUCAUAGAGAUAAAGGACAUAAUACACAUGGAUAUAGUAAGUCUUCCUUGAGCUGCUUUAAUGGUAAUCUUUACAUUUUCCUUUUUCACUCAUAGUAUGGGAAGAAGUGGACUCUAGGUGUACCCCUAAUUGGAGUUGAGGAAUCAAACCAUAUAAUUUCUUGGAUUCUAAUGGAGUAAUAUUUUAUGAAUAACACAUUUUCAACCAAAAUCAAAUAAACAUUUCAAUAAUCUCCUCAUAUUUUAAAAGUAAUAGGGAUCCAAAUGAUAGGUAAUUAAAAAAAAAUUCCUAAAUUUUCUAUUUUGAUGAAUUUUCUAUUUUGAUCGAUGAACUAGUCCUUACUAGAGUUAUAAAAUAUAUAUUUUAAUCUCGAUUUUCCUAAAAAAAAAAAUUCAACUUCCCGCUGCAUUUAUCUAAUUACGUACUAUUUAUUAGUUCAAUAAUUCAUCGUUAUUUUCAUGUUAUUAGUUGAAUAAAUCGAAAAGUAAACGCAUAAACACAAAAUACUUUUCAAUUCAAAGCUCCAUUUCAAUUUUUUUCAAUAUUCAUCACAUGUUUCUUACAAAAAAUAAAAAAUAAGAUAAAAUAAAAUAUUCGUUCACAUGUUGAUUUCUCAUACAUGUAGCAUGUAAGAAAACAAAGAAACAAUGGAAGCCCCAACCAAUGAUCCAAGAACAGGCAAGGUUGAGGCAGCCACGCUGGAAUCUGGUCCUGAUGCUGGGGCGGAAGCAGGAGAGGAGCUAGGACUAGAACCACCGGCGGAAGGGGAAGGAGCAGGUGCACCGGCAGCCAUGACGGCGCUCAUUGAGGCAGCAGCAACAAUGAUGGCGGUGGAGACCUUCUUCAUGUCCAUGGCGUAUAAAUGGAUUAUUAAACGCACCGGAAAUGAACGAGACCUGCGUUUAAUUGCUGGAGAAUGGGGAUCCGCCGGUGAUUGUUAUUAUUUGCUUUGUUAUUGCAGGUCUGAAGAACAAUGAUGUUGGGGAGGAUCUUUUAUAGGUGAAAAUUCAUAGCUAUUUUUAGUGAUGAAAUUUAAAAAUCAAAUUACGUGUUUGGUUUUCGCAUGGUUUGCGGGAUAGACAUGCAAAUUUUUUAAUAUUCUUAACUAUUUUAAGAUAAUGCGAUUUUAAAAUUUAAGUUUGAAUGAUAAUUAAUUUUUAUUUAAAUUUAAUUAAAUUAUUUGAAUAUAUUUUAUUUUUAAAAUAAAAAAUUUAAUUUGGACCGAUAUGAUUCUUUUACGAAAUUUUAAUGGUAAAGUAAAGCAAGACGAUUCUAAUCAUUUAUAUGUAAAUAUUAUAUCAUAAAAUGUAUUAAAAAAUAUUAUAUAUUAUGAUAAAUGGUUGGAUGGUAAAUUUUAUUGAGAUGAAUAUAGGACUAUAAAUGUAAAAUUAUUAGUUAACUUUCCAUAUUUGGGGAAGAUUGAAUUUCGGUUCUUUUAUUAAAAAAAUAAAUAAAUUAAUUUUUAUAUAUUUUGAAAUAUACAAAUUAGCUCAUUCGUUAAAUUUUAUCUAUUAAAUGAUGACGUGAAUGGUUAAAUAUAUGUUGAAAAUUAUCUUUUACGGGUAUAUAAAAAGAGUCACCUAAUUAUGUCUUUGUUCUAUUUUAGUUACCCAACCAAGAAUUCGUUUGGAUUUAAGUUUACCUUCAGUGUGGCACGAUUUUGGCACUUUAUUGCCCAAUCGUGUUGCAAUCAAUCACUAGGAUGCAUAAAUGGGAUUCAAUUUCAUUGCACUGAGCUUUACUUUUUUAGUUUUGGCGGAUUACAACUCCACUAACUUUUUCUUUCCUCUUGUAUCUAGACCUAAUCAUUGGCCAAGCCACCCGGCCCGAAGACUCACUCAAAAAGUAAAAGUAUUUGUGCAAAAAUAUAGGCUCGAAAAAUAGGUUUUUGCAAAAAAAAACAAGGCCUACUUUCUAAACAAGUUGCAUUGGGCAAGCUUUUUUUGCCCUAGCCUCGGCCCAAUCCAACUUUGUAAAAAAAAACCUACUGCUUUUUGCUGCUAUUGCACUAUUUUUGCAGUUGUUUUGUCACUGUUUUGGUAUCGUUUCGCUAUUAUAUUACUAUUAUUUUGUUCUUAUUAAUUGGAUAUUGUAUAACUCUUAUUUUAUUGUUAAUUUUGCUACUAUUUUAGAGAAUUUGCUUGCUAAGUUGUACCUAUCUUAGUAUUAUUAUAAAUUAUUUUUUAAUUUAUUUUCAAUUAGCUGAGAAACAUUAAUUUUAAUACAGACAGGGCGGGUCAGGCUCAAGUUUUAACAUUUUUAUUCAAGCCAAAUUUGGACAAAAUUUUAAACUUAUUUUUUAAGUUGGGCCAAAAAACGGAUCAAAAAUUCUAUUGAAGCCUGAACCAUGAUUAACUCUAUUUGUAUCCGUGCACCAUUUGUUUUAUAUCCAUACUCCUUAUGCCAUGUUCAUUCUUCUUUUUUUUUUUUGUUUAUUUCUCUUUUAAUAAAUUAAAUAAUUUUUUUAUUUUUUAAUAAAUUAAUGUAUAUUUAUCAUUUAAUAUAAUAAAUUAUUUUAAAUGAUUAUAAAUUAAUUAAUUAAAAUAUUUAUAAAAAUAUUAUGAUACAUGUUAUUAUUUUAUUAAAUAAAAUUACAACUUCACAUAUUUUAAUAAUUUCAUAAAAAUAAAAUAAUUUACAACUUCUAUUAUAUAUUAUUUCUAAUAAUGAUAAAGAAAAUUAUUUCCAACUUAAUAUCCUCACAUCACCGUUACAGCUAUGUUUGAAUUCAAGCACAUACCCAAUCACUAUUUUUAACCUCAUCGGAGCGAAUUCAGGAUGGGUUGGCAGGGCAUCGGCCUCCCCUAAAAUAAAAUUUUUUUCAUUUAGCUCUUUUUAUAAUUUUUAAAAUUUUAAAUUAACAAUAAUAAAAUUAUACUUUGUCCCUUCAAAAUGAUAAAAAAUUUAUUUAAUCUUUUAAUAUUUUCAUGUUUAAAAUUUAAAAAGUUAAUUCAACUACUUUAAAAAGAUUUUCCAACUUCAACCCACAUUUAUCUAAUUACAUAGUAGUUAUUAGUUCAAUAAUUCAUUGUUAUUUUCAAGUUAUUCAUUGUUUUGAAUAAAUCUAAAAGUAAAAGUAUAAACACAACAUACUUUCCAAAGCUCCAUUUCAAUUUUUUAAUAUUCAUCACAUGUUUCUUACAAAAUAAAAAAUAAAAUAAAAUAUUCGUUCACAUGUUAAUUUUUCAUACAUGUAGCUUACUGCAGCAUGCAAGAAAACAAAGAAACAAUGGAAGCCCCAACCAAUGAUCCAAGAACAGGCAAGGUUGCGGCAGCCACGCUGGAAUCUGGUCCUGAUGCUGGGGCGGAAGCAGGAGAGGAGCUAGGACUAGAACCACCGGCGGAAGGGGAAGGAGCAGGUGCACCGGCAGCCAUGACGGCGCUCAUUGAGGCAGCAGCAACAAUGAUGGCGGUGGAGACCUUCUUCAUGUCCAUGGCGUAUAAAGGGAUUAUUAAACGCACCGGAAAUGAAUGAGACCUGCGUUUAAUUGCUGGCGAAUGGGGAUCCGCCGGUGAUUGUUAUUAUUUGCUUUGUUAUUGAUGGUCU
rnacentral:lncRNA from 1 species